rnacentral:rRNA from 1 species
CCCUUAGAUGUUCUGGGCUGCACGCGCGCUACACUGAAGCGUUCAACGAGUAUUUCACCUUGCCCGGGAGGGUUGGGUAAUCUUUUUAAAACGCUUCGUGAUGGGGAUAGAUUAUUGCAAUUAUUAAUCUUCAACGAGGAAUUCCUAGUAAGCGCGAGUCAUCAGCUCGCGUUGAUUACGUCCCUGCCCUUUGUACACACCGCCCGUCGCUACUACCGAUUGAAUGGUUUAGUGAGAUCUUCGGAUUGGCGCCUACGCGGCUUCUCUGAGGCCACGCUGGAUGCCGAAAAGUUGCUCAAACUGUAUCAUUUAGAGGAAGUAAAAGUCGUAACA